rnacentral:hammerhead_ribozyme from 1 species
AUCUAGCUGACGAGUCACAAAUAGGACAAAACGCGCGUCAAACUGGAU